rnacentral:ncRNA from 1 species
AUCUUCAGGGCAGGGUUAGAUUCCCGACCGGCGGUAUAGUCCGCGAGCAUUGAACUCUAUUUAGUAAUUGCCAAGCUUAAAGAGCGUAGCAAGAAAUAUAGUUUGCAUGAUUCGGUGAAAUUCCGAAACCGACAGUAAAGUCUGGAUGGAAGAAGAUA